UGGCGGACGGGUGAGUAAUGUCUGGGAAACUGCCCGAUGGAGGGGGAUAACUACUGGAAACGGUAGCUAAUACCGCAUAACGUCGCAAGACCAAAGAGGGGGACCUUCGGGCCUCUUGCCGUCGGAUGUGCCCAGAUGGGAUUAGCUAGUAGGUGGGGUAACGGCUCACCUAGGCGACGAUCCCUAGCUGGUCUGAGAGGAUGACCAGCCACACUGGAACUGAGACACGGUCCAG
rnacentral:rRNA from 1 species